AUGGGCGGCCACCUGCUUAACGACGGCGCCAACCUAACUCUGACCAUGGUGACGGUCGACAGAUGCCAAUGUUGCAAGCUGUCUUCUUUGGCCGGAAGAUGCUUUAGUUUAGCAGCAUCAACAACGCAAAAAGAGAGAGGAAGAAAAAUGGAUGUCAGGCUCAUCUCUGGAGUGUUUGCAAUCCUUUUCAUGCCAGGUGUUUGUGCAAAUGAACCAGCAUGCUCAUGCAUGCCUAUGGAAGUUGAAAGGAAACAAAUGUUCCAGGAUCACUAUCAGCAUAUAUUUUCUAAAUGUCAACCUAGAGAAAACGCAGUGACUGUUUGUGUAUAUGUCUCAAACAAAAAACUGUCUUUUUUGUAA
rnacentral:rRNA from 1 species